CCGAGUGUAGCUCAGUUGGUAGAGCGAUUGACUGUAGUGUUCUACACUGUGUUUUAGUAUUCUCGGAAAUCAAUUGGUCGCUGGUUCGAUUCCGGCCACUCGGA
rfam:Phytophthora infestans T30-4 supercont1.26 genomic scaffold, whole genome shotgun sequence.